GACAACACAUGCAAGUCGAACGAGAUCCUUCGGGGUCUAGUGGCGAACGGGUGCGUAACGCGUGGGAAUCUGCCCUUGGGUUCGGAAUAACAGUUGGAAACGACUGCUUAUACCGGAUGAUGACGAAAGUCCAAAGAUUUAUCGCCAGAGGAUGAGCCCGCGUAGGAUUAGCUAGUUGGUGGGGUAAAGGCCCACCAAGGCGACGAUCCUUAGCUGGUCUGAGAGGAUGAUCAGCCACACUGGGACUGAGACACGGCCCAGACUCCUACGGAAGGCAGCAGUGGGGAAUAUUGGACAAUGGGCGAAAGCCUGAUCCAGCAAUGCCGCGUGAGUGAUGAAGGCCUUAGGGUUGUAAAGCUCUUUUACCCGGGAUGAUAAUGACAGUACCGGGAGAAUAAGCCCCGGCUAACUCCGUGCCAGCAGCCGCGGUAAU
rnacentral:rRNA from 1 species